GCAUAUCAAUAAGCGGAGGAAAAGAAACUAACAAGGAUUCCCCUAGUAACUGCGAGUGAAGCGGGAAAAGCUCAAAUUUAAAAUCUGGCAGUUUACGCUGUCCGAGUUGUAAUUUAGAGAAGCAUUAUCCGUGCUGGACCGUGUACAAGUUCCUUGGAAUAGGACGUCAUAGAGGGUGAGAAUCCCGUCUUUGACACGGACUACCAGUGCAAUGUGAUACGCUCUCGAAGAGUCGAGUUGUUUGGGAAUGCAGCUCAAAAUGGGUGGUAAAUUCCAUCUAAAGCUAAAUAUUGGGGAGAGACCGAUAGCGAACAAGUACCGUGAGGGAAAGAUGAAAAGAACUUUGGAAAGAGAGUUAAACAGUACGUGAAAUUGCUGAAAGGGAAACGCUUGAAGUCAGUCGCGACGUUCGGGACUCAGCCAUGCUUCUGUGUGGUGUAUUUCCUGUUCGUUGGGUCAACAUCAGUUUUGGUCGGUGGAUAAAGAUUCAGGGAAUGUGGCUCUUUCGGGAGUGUUAUAGCCCCUGGGUUGUAUACAUUGACUGGGACUGAGGAACUCAGCACGCCGAAAGGCCGGAUACUUGUAUCACGUUCGUGCUUAGGAUGUUGGCAUAAUGGCUUUAAUCGACCCGUCUUGAAAGCACGGACCAAG
rnacentral:rRNA from 1 species